UAAUAACGUAUAUUCUGAAAAUAUAGCUGAGACAAUAGAGUUUUUAAUACGAACUAAAAAUAUUGUAGAAACUAACGUAAUUGAAGUGAACACAGAUCAAUUUAGAAAAUAUCGAAUAAAGGAAAUGAGUGACCGUGUGAUAAAUCAGAAGGAGUUAAUUAAUCAAAUAACAAACCAGGUUGAUAUUCGCAAUGGACAAAUCAAAAAGCAGAGACAGUAUUCUGCAAGUAUUUUCUUCUAAUCGGUGGAUGAAACAAAAUUGCAGCUUUUUAUACGUAAACGUACUUUAUAUGAAUAAUUUUUUUAUAUUGCAUGUACUAUUUU